rnacentral:rRNA from 1 species
UACGUAGGGUGCAAGCGUUAUCCGGAAUUAUUGGGCGUAAAGAGUUCGUAGGUGGCUUGGUAAGUUUGUGGUUAAAUCCGAUCGCUCAACGAUCGAAUCGCCGCGAAAACUCCCAAGCUGGAGGAUGGCAGAGGCAACUGGAAUUCCACAUGUAGGGGUAAUAUCCGUAGAUAUGUGGAGGAACACCAAAAGCGAAGGCAGGUUGCUGGGCCAUUUCUGACACUGAGGAACGAAAGCGUGGGGAGCAAACAGG